AAUGCAUCAGUGUCUCAAUAACAGAAUUUAUCAAGCAGAAGAAUAAAUUAGUGAGUUUGAAAACAUGAAAAUAUAGAGGAGAAAAAGAAAGAAGAAUAAAAAGGAUGAAGUAUGCCUACAAGAUCUAAAAAAUAACUUCAAAAGGACAAAUCUAUAACUUAUUGGCCUUGAAGAAGAUGUAAAGAAAGAGAUCAGGAUAUAAAGUUUGUUCAAAGAAAUAAUAACAGAGAACUUGCCUAGCAUAGAGAAAGAUAAGAAUAUCCAGGUACAAGACAGCCAAAAUCACUAACAGAUUCUAUCUAAAUAAGACUUCUUCAUGGCAUAUAAUAAUCACUCUUAAAGGCCAAGGACAAAGAAAAGAUUCUAAAAGCAGCAAGACAAAAGAAGCAAAUAACAUAUAAAGAAGCUCCGUAUGUCUGGCAGCACAUUUCUCAGUGGAACCCUCACAUGCCAUGAGGGAGGGGGAUGACAUAUCCAGAGUGCUAAAGGCAAAAAAAAGCUUCCAACUUAGAAUAUUAUAUCCAGCAACAUCAUUCUUCAAACAUAAAAAAGAAAUAAAAACUUUCCCAGGCAAACAAAAGCUAAAAAAUGUCACCAACACCAGAACUAUAAAGGGAAUUCUUCAAUUUAAAAGAAAAGGAUUCUCAAGCAACAAGAAAUCAUCUGAAGGUAUAAAAGUCACUGGUAAAACAUUAUUCACAACAGCCAAGACAUGGAAACAACCUGAAUGUCCAUCAACAGAUCGGAUAAAGAAAAUGUGGGUCAGGCACGGCUGCUU
rnacentral:lncRNA from 1 species